ACUGCAAAUAUAAUAAAAUAAAAUCUUUUAUGUGGGACCUUGUCAUCAGAAACACACUACUGUGUAAAAGAUUCCACAGUGCAUUUUAUGUUAGAGCCCCUCUGCAGAUAGUGCAAUCCCAUAAACAUGUACAGCUUUCUCUUUUCUAGAUGUUAUAGAAAAGAAUAUCAGAACUUCUAAACAUAAAGUCUGGAGACAUAAUCAAUCAAACAUGUUAAAGUCUUAAUAAAUACUAAGGAGCUACAUUAACUCCACUAUUCCUUAAGAGAAAACAAGAUUCUAUUCAAAUUUCUCCCAAUUAGAGAAAUAUUUUUCUAAUUCUCAUCACAAUUUUAGUAGGAAACUAAAACAGCUGUCCUUGUAAGCAUUAUAAAUCCUAUGAAAACCAUUUGGAAGCCCCUUGCCUGUCCUAUUAAUGCAAAACAGAGUGAAUACAUAAAUUAAUUUAAAGUAUUCAGUUCAAGAACUACUUCCUUUAAGGUUAUCCCAUGUUGGACCCUGAGUACACCAGGUUAAAAAUGUCAGUGGUAGGACUCCUCAUCACUUUACUAACAUCACUCACAUGCUGGAAUAACUAACUAGAAGCAGAGGUGAAAAGUUAAGUUUAAUGAUUAAAUAACCAAGAAACAAGCUCCUUAAACUUUUUCCUUAUGCUGCCUGGACAUUAACAUCCAAGACAGGUACCUGGCAAUGCUGGGAAUGAGUGCUGGAAAUUUAUCAAACAUGACAACAAUUACAUCAUUUGCUGUUGGGCUGGCUGCAAUCAUUACCUGCAACACCCUUACCUACACUCUUGCCUCCAAGAGAAAAGAGCUCUUUACUACAAAUUUACUCUUCAUGAAAAGAGAUUCUGGAGAAAGAUCAAGCACUCCCUUCCACUCAUCCUCAGGGAAACAAGAAGAAAGUCCGGCUCCUGGUCCCACUAAGUAACAUUUUGGGGCUUUUUUUUAGGGACUGCUCCUCCAACUGUGUGUUGCAAUGCUAAAUUGUGGUAUCCGACUUUUAUGUCAAAGCAAAGAAGUCCCCUGUUUUCAGUAGUUUCUCUAUCACUACCAAAAUAAAGGAAUGAAGAGUUCUGCAUUGACACACAGAAGUAUUUAAAUACAAUACACAGCCAAAGUUUUCCUCUUAUUUUAUAUAUUGCCCAGACAUACUGAAAAAUCACUUUAUAAAACACAUGCUGGAUGACAGUUGUACUCAAAAGUGAAAUUCAGAUUGUAGCAAAUUUAGUUCAAGCAGGUUCUGCAUCUCUAAAAUCCAGCUCACACAUAUAGAAUUUACUAAGCCUUAGUUCCUUACUGACAAAGUUAAUCCAUUUUAUAUUUUAGCAUCUUAACACAGAUGAUGUAAAGCACCUCAAAUUUUAAUUCCAGAAGAGCCAGGUAUGAACAUGAGAAAAGACUGUAAUUGGAAAGGUGAGAGGUAACUGACAUUACUAUAAUUACAGAUUAUUUCCAGUCUCAAUGUGGUUUCCUUUUCAGCUGUCAGUUCAACAGCUGGCAUUUCAUUAACACACUUUCCUAUGCCCCAUUCCAUCUGUCUCCCAUCGAGGAAAGGAGUAAUUUUGAUAACUUCCUAUAGCACAUUGGGAGGCAGCACAAUGGCACGGUUCUAGAUUCUGGCUGAAUUUGGGGAUGCCCACCUCCAAUUCAAUAGCUCAGGCUAUUCAGAAUACCGAAGAUUCAAAAUUAAUGUUAACUAUAUUUCAUAGCCUGAAAGAAUUGAACCUUUGCCAGUCAUCACCCUAAUUUCCAUGGUCCACAAUAUUCAGGGGAUAUCUGCAGUGCAUUCUUCUCCUCCCACAGCAGCUGUUCUUCUUAGUUAUAAGCAAAUAUUUCCACUGUAAUUAAAUAAUUUGACUGUAUUUUCACUUUAAUUAAACAUCUUUUGUAGUCCACUGCGAGAGAAACUCAAGUACUGUUUUGAUUCACUGUCAGAAUUAAGGCUCUCAUCUGGGAAUGGUGAAACCCAUUUGCUGGUCCUCUUGCAUUUGUCUACAUUACUUGACGUGAACGUAGGAGACACAACCACCAGGGUGGAGAUUUCCUCUUCUCCCGCAGUGAACUUCUGCCCUGUGCCGAGCAGGAACCGAGCCCACCACCUUCAGACAGCUGAGAGCAUCCCAGUCCUGAACAGCACGGCUAAAGCCCGGGAGCCAAGCGCAGAUCCUACCCGGCACCAGGGGGGCUUCCCUCUCUCUGGCACUGCCUGGGCAUGCGGAUUAGCUGCUGCAUUACCCGGGGGCAGGACACAUUGCUGAAAGGUGUGGCCUGUGCAUGUCCUUGCUGCAAGACUGCCAUGGAGCUUGAGCUGGAAAAAUGCUGUUUUCUGUACCUCCAUCCAGAAGACACAGUUGCUCUGCCCAAUUAAACCAAAAUGCCAGCAAGCCUGUGACUUAACACUGAUUACACAGAAUUCAUCAGCAAGUGAGCUGUGUUCAUCUUGUCAUCUUGUGGAUAAAACCUUUUCAAAUACUCUCCUUCCUUCCAGACUUCAGUUCUGUAUGCUUGGUCUGUACAAACUGUUCUUGGAAAGGAAGCACAGGAAUAAUUUUUAAGGCUUUUGUUUUUAAAUUUGUCUGAGGUGAACUGAAGCAAAUCUGACACUUUCAAGGGGAUUGACCUGGCAAGGAGGCCAGGAACACCAGGAAAAUGGCAAGUGCUUUGCAGGGCUUGUGGCCCAAACUGGCACUUAGCAUUUUCCAAGCUACUGAGUAAUACUGGGAGCUGGAGUCCUCAAGUGCUCUGAAAAAGAAGAAUUCCUUCAGGGGAAUGUGCAUUUUGCAAUUAGACACUGAGGUCUAAUACAUUCUGAGAACAGCAGCAUUUCCUCCUUCAGAAAUAAUUUUACUACUCUAUAACAUACCAGCAUCCUGGCAACCUUCCUAAACCUGUGUGGAGGUGGAUGUGGGAGCUAUUUUGUUUUAAGGUAACCUUUCCCCUGUGUUCCUGUAAGUCUUGAAAACUAUGGACCUUUCAUAGG